UUAGAAACACAUAUUUAGAGGGGUUUUAAAAAACCCCCUCAAAAAAAGUGUAAAUUUAUUUUUAUACUCAUCUAUUGAGUCUCGUGCUCUUCGGCAACCGAUCUCUUGCUCUCACCUUGGGUUUUGGCGGAGAGAUCCAUAGGUUAGCUCCGGCGAUGAUCUCCAAUCUUGUGAGAACCCUCUCCAAACCUCCGACUGGGUUCCGCCGAGGCCUCAACACCCUUGUCAGCUCACACAGCGCCAAAUGGAUGCAGGAUCUUGUAACAGCAGUUAUUGUGAACAUCAAGGUGAAUGCUCUAAAUCAGCAGGCCAGUACCCCCUACAAAGUCAAAUAUGGCACAACUUGCUUUUUGGAACUUCAUGGUGAAGGUUGAAGGGUGAUUGCAAGCAUGGUCAGCAUGGGCAUGCCGGCGGUUGAUGCAGUCAAGCUGGUGAAGCAUGGUGGAGGUUAUGGAUCCGUUUCUCUUGGCGUCAUGGUUGUUGUGUACUGUAGUAAUGGUGUGUUAAGGUGAAAUAGAGAGUAUUUAAUGCUUGAUAUCUCUUGGUUUGUACAUGACCAAUGAGAAGUCAUUUAGUA